rnacentral:RNase_P_RNA from 1 species
CGAGUUGGCCGGGCGGUCGCGUCGGCGCCGGAAGGCGCCGCCGAGGAACGUCCGGGCUCCACAGGGCAGGGUGGUUGUUAACGGCAACCCGGGGUGACCCGCGGGAUGAGUGCCACAGAAAACAGACCGCCUGGAGGCUGGGCGACCAGCCGGCCAGGUAAGGGUGAAACGGUGGGGUAAGAGCCCACCAGCGCCCCGGGUGACCGGGGCGGCUCGGUAAACCCCACCCGGAGCAAGGCCAAAAGGGUCGGUCCGCUCCGGACCGGCCUGCGCGAGCGCUGGAGGGCUGCCCGCCCGAUGCUCGCGGGUGGGCCGCUGGAGCCCGCUGGCAACAGCGGGCCGAGAUGGAUGGCCGUCGCCCCCGGCCGGCAACGGCCGGGGGACACAGAACCCGGCGUACAGGCCAACUCGCCCA